ACACACACACACACAUGAUGGCUCAGUCAUAGUCUGUCAUGACACCGUAUACAAGUAGGUACACACACACACAUGAUGGCUCAGUCAUAGUCUGCCAUGACACCGUAUACAAGUAGGUACACACACACACACACAUGAUGGCUCAGUCAUAGUCUGCCAUGACACCGUAUACAAGUAGGUACACACACACACACACACACACACAUGAUGGCUCAGUCAUAGUCUGUCAUGACACCGUAUACAAGUAGGUACACACACACACACACACACACACAUGAUGGCUCAGUCAUAGUCUGCCAUGACACCGUAUACAAGUAGGUACACACACACACACACACAUGAUGGCUCAGUCAUAGUCUGUCAUGACACCGUAUACAAGUAGGUACACACACACACACACAUGAUGGCUCAGUCAUAGUCUGCCAUGACACCGUAUACAAGUAGGUACACACACACACACACACACAUGAUGGCUCAGUCAUAGUCUGCCAUGGCACUGUAUACAAGUAGGUACACACACAUGAUGUCAUAGUCUGCCAUGACACCGUAUACAAGUAGGUACACACACACACAUGAUGGCUCAGUCAUAGUCUGCCAUGGCACCGUAUACAAGUAGGUACACACACACACACACAUGAUGGCUCAGUCAUAGUCUGCCAUGACACCGUAUACAAGUAGGUACACACACACACACACACAUGAUGGCUCAGUCAUAGUCUGCCAUGACACCGUAUACAAGUAGGUACACACACACACACACACACACACAUGAUGGCUCAGUCAUAGUCUGCCAUGACACCGUAUACAAGUAGGUACACACACACACACACACAUGAUGGCUCAGUCAUAGUCUGUCAUGACACCGUAUACAAGUAGGUACACACACACACACACAUGAUGGCUCAGUCAUAGUCUGCCAUGACACCGUAUACAAGUAG